rnacentral:rRNA from 1 species
GAUGAACGCUGGCGGCGUGCCUAAUACAUGCAAGUCGAACGCAUUGUGGUUGAAAUGAUAUGAAGAACUUGUUCAGAUUUGAUUUUCAACAUUGCAAUGAGUGGCGAACGGGUGAGUAACACGUGGGAAACCUACCUCUUAGCAGGGGAUAACAUUUGGAAACAAAUGCUAAUACCGUAUAAUAAUUAAAACCGCAUGGUUUUAGUUUAAAAGAUGGUCUUGCUAUCACUAAGAGAUGGUCCCGCGGUGUAUUAGUUAGUUGGUGAGGUAAUGGCUCACCAAGACAAUGAUACAUAGCCGAGUUGAGAGACUGACCGGCCACAAUGGGACUGAGACACGGCCCAUACUCCUACGGGAGCAGCAGUAGGGAAUCUUCCACAAUGGACGAAAGUCUGAUGGAGCAACGCCGCGUGUGUGAUGAAGGGUUUCGGCUCGUAAAACACUGUUGUAAGAGAAGAAUGACAUUGAGAGUAACUGUUCAAUGUGU